AUUGCAAGUACAGAAGUAGAUAUGAACAAUAAUAAUGGAAUAAUUUAUUGUAAUCCAGAUUUUUUAUUAACCAUUAAAGACUUUUCAGAUAAAAUUAAAAUAGGAAUUCAAACAAAAGGAUAUGAAGAGGUAGAAAGUGGAGAUAAUUUACUAAUUAGUAUAGGAUUUUUAGGAAGAUGUUCAAAUAACUCACAGACAAAAUAUAAAAUUUACAUAGAUAAAGUAGUAAACUUAAUGAGUAGUAAAGGAAUUAACAUGGUUAAACCAAAAGAAUAUUCAUCAGAACAAUUAGUAGGAUUAGAAUGGGAUAUAUAUAAAUUUUUAGAAAAUCAAGAAGCAAUUAUAGCACCACAGGAGGCACUAACUUAUAAAGAUAUUCAUGGAAGAACUAGUCUAAGAUUUUUAGAUUACAAUCAAGUACAAAGACAAAAUGACUUUGAAGAAGAAACUAAUCCUGAAGAAGAACAAAAUGAACCAUUUCAAAAUCAAGUUCAUUUAGAAUUAAUAGAUGAAGAAAAUGAUAGAAUAAUUUAUCCAAAAGAAUUAGGAAUGAAUUUAGAUAAUAAAGAAUUAUUAGAAAUGGAAGACCAAAUGUAUCUUAAUAAGACAAUUACAGAAUCUGAAUAUUUAUAUUAUGAUCAAGAACAGAAUUUAAGAAUAGGAACCAUUAAAGAAAAUAAUGAUUCAGAAAAUUCAGACUUUAGUUAUAUAAAAGAACUUAUGGAAGACUCAAAUACAUAUAGAACUUUUAGUGAUACCCCUUUUGAUAGAACAGUUAAACAUGAAGCAAUGAUUUAUAGUGGAGGAUUUCUCCCAAGAGGAGCCUAUCCUUUAUAUAAUAAUACAGAAGGAAAAUAUAUAGCAAGAGGAAGUGAAAGACCCUUAGAAAAGAAAAUAGAAUUCCAAUCAGAUCAUAAAGCACAGAUUUUAAAUAUUACGGCACAUGAUCCACAGACAUGGAAUAAUGUUAUAGAUGUAUGGAAGAAUACUAUAAUAGGACAUUAUAUUAGAAAUUUUCAAGAAAUGGAAGCUUUAGACAUGUAUAGAUACUUAGAAACAUUUUUAGGAGAAAGUGUAAAAGCUAUGUGGGAAGCUUUUAAAUUAGAAAAGAAACAAGAAUUUGAACAAUUAGUUAGUAUGGGAAGUAAUCCUUAUAACUUUGUUAAUAAAAUACAAAUAUUAAUAACAGGAGCAGAUCCUAAUUCAGGACACAUGAGUAUACAAAGAAAAGCUAUGAGAGAUUUAGAACAACUUAGUCUUUACAAAUGGACUAAAGGAAGAUAUGUUAAGAAUUUUUUAAAUGAGUAUCAUUACUUAACUUCAAUAUCAGGAAACACAUUUAAUCAAGAAAUAGGAAAUAAAUUAUUUCAUAAAUUACCAGGACCAUUAGGAUUAGAAAUUACAGAUAAAUGGAAUAAUCUGCCAGCAGUUAAAGAAGAACCAGAAAAACAAUGGAGUAUAGGACAAAGAAUACAACAUGUAAUAAGAUGUUUAGAAGAUAAAUGUGUAGAAUUACAAAUUCAAAAACAACUUAAGAAGACAGACUAUAAAUUUUGUAAAGAUAUUUUUACUCCACAAACUUAUGGAGCUUCUAGCUCAAGAAAAAAUAAGUGUAGUAAUAAAGAAAGAAAAAACAAAAAACCUUUUAAGAAAAAAUAUUUUCUUAGAAAAUCCAAUAAAAG
rnacentral:lncRNA from 1 species